CCAUCAUCAUCAUCAUCAUUAUUUAUCGACUGGGGCACUCUCUCUCAUGAUAAGAAAUGGGGAAAUCAGCCAAAAUAGUAAUGUUGCUGGGGAUAUUUUCCUUGAGAAUCUGCUUUGCUGCAUCUGCAUUUAUUAACAUGUCUACUGUGGAUGAGUUGUCUCUCCUGUCCAUGAAAGCUAACAUAAAUUCCGACAUCCUGGCUAGGAACUGGUCCAAGGAAACCUCGUUAUGCACUUGGACCGGCGUCAUUUGUGGCAAGAAGCAUCCACGGAGAGUGACAGCUAUCAAUCUUGCAAAUAUGGGUUUGGAGGGAACCAUCGCAAAGGAAAUCGGCAACCUCUCAUCUCUGAGAUUCGUAGACAUCAGCAACAACAGUAUCAAUGGCCAAAUCCCAAGUGAAAUUGGAUUGUUGGGGAAGCUGCAGGGUUUGAACCUUUCACAUAACUACUUGAGUGGAGAUAUUCCGACAAGUUUAUCGCCGUGCGUACAACUGAAGAUGUUGGAUUUGUCUCAUAACAAUCUCACUGGAACUGUUCCAGCUGGGUUUGGCAACUGGUCACAACUUCAGGAUCUCUCUUUGAGUAGGAAUUAUUUGACAGGUACAGUUCCAACGACAAUUGGCAAUUUGUCGAAUUUGGAGGUAUUGGAUUUCAGCAGGAACAGUUUUUAUGGGACAGUUGUGUCCGCAAUGGGACAACUAUCCAGUUUGAGAAUAUUGAAUCUUCAAGCAAACAAUCUAAGUGGUGAAGUACCUCAAGCUAUCUUCAAUCUCUCCAUGUUAGAAUUCCUUUCCCUUAGAGAAAACAACCUAUUCGGAAGUCUUCCAUUUUCUAUUGACAUAGGCCUUCCAAACAUUGAGCGUAUUUUUCUUGGAAAUAUCCAACAGAGGUUUGAUCUUCUAGCUAAUCGCUUCCAUGGAGAAAUCCCGAGUUCAAUCUCAAAUCUCUCUAAACUCAUCGCACUGGAUCUUUCUGAUAACUCAUUCAAUCAUGUACCAAUGAAUCUUGGGAGUUUACAUCAACUUCAGAUGCUAAACUUGGAAGCAAAUCAGUUGACAAAUAAUUUGUCCAAUCCUGAACAGGACUUUCUCUCUUCCUUGGCAGCUUGCAAGAAUCUGAGGUUUAUACAGAUAUCAUUUAAUCCUAUAACUGGUGUUCUCCCAAAAUCCUUAGGCUCGAGCAAUCUCUCUGUGUCCCUUGAAACUUUCAAAGCUUUCUCUUGCAAAAUCUUAAGUCCGAUCCCCGAUGAGAUAGGGAACUUAAGCAGCUUGUUGUGGUUAAACCUCGGAUAUAAUCACUUCACCGGAGCCAUUCCCAUGAUGCUGGGAGGUUUAAGAAGCUUGAGGAAUUUGGAAAUCUACGGCAAUAGAUUUCAUGGCUCCAUCUCCACUGUCUUGUGCAAUCUAAAUUCUCUUUAUUCGUUAAACUUAGCAAUAAACAAUCUCUCUGGACUACUACCAAGUUGUUUAGGGAACCUCUCUUUGUUAAGAGAAAUCUAUAUGUCAAGCAAUGAAUUCAGCUUCAACAUCGCAUCAAUUUUAUGGUUUGAUAAGGGUGCUAUCAAUGUGAAGAAUCUGGUAGCAUUGGAUCUGUCGUAUAAUCAGCUCUCUGGGGAGAUCCCAAGCACCAUUUCCCAGCUUGAGAAUCUAGUUCGACUAUCAUUGUCUAGAAACAAACUGAGAGGCCGCAUAGUUGAAUCGUUUUCUCUUCUAAAGGAUUUGGAACUCUUGGAUCUGUCCCACAACAAUCUCUCUGGUCCGAUUCCUAAGUCUUUGGAAGCACUUUCACAUCUUAAUUACUUUGAUGUAUCAUUUAAUGAGCUUAGAGGUGAAAUUCCAGACAGAGGGUGUUUUGUCAAUUUCAGUGCGGAGUUUUUCGUUGGUAACAAUGGUUUGUGUGGACCAAUUCGAUUUGAAGUGAAGAAAUGUCAAUCUUUAAGCAUGAGAAAACGUUUACCAUAUUUAUCAUUUUUGAUAGUUGUUGUGAUUGGCCUUAUUCUUGUCCUGAGAUGGAAAUUUUGUGCAAGAACGACAUAUCCUUUGUCUCAUUAUUUUCCAUAUGACAUUUAUAGGAGAAUUUCAUAUCAAGAAAUCCUUCGCGCCACAGGCAACUUUGAUGAAGAAAACUUGAUUGGCAGGGGUGGCAUUGGCUCAGUAUAUCUGGGAACAUUUUCUGAUGGAAUGAAGUGUGCUAUUAAAGUAUUUGAUUUAGAUGUACAAGAUGCAUUGAAGAGCUUCCAGACUGAGUGCGAAAUAUUAGGCGGAUUACGCCACAGAAAUAUUGUCAGGAUUAUCACUUGUUGUUCCCAGCCUGAUUUUAAGGCCUUGUUGAUGACAUAUAUGCCCAACGGUGAUCUAGAGAAACAGCUCCACUUUGCCAAUUGUUCCUUAGACUUGUUCACAAGAAUGAGAAUAAUGACAGAAGUGGCGCAAGUGAUAGAGUAUUUACAUGAAUACUGUACAACGCCCAUUGUCCAUUGCGAUUUAAACCCGAAAAACAUCCUUCUUGAUGAAGACAUGGUUGCACAUGUAGGCGACUUUGGCAUUUCCAAGAUCUUGAGUCAAGAAGAAAGAAUGCUACGUUCUAGGACUUUGGGUACUAUUGGAUACAUAGCACCAGAGUAUGGAUCACAGGGAUUAAUCUCGACCACAGUGGAUGUUUAUAGCUACGGGAUUUUGCUGAUGGAAACAUUUUCAAGAAGAAAGCCAACAGAUGAGAUGUUUUCAGGAGAGUUAACCUUGAGGAGAUGGGUCUCUGAAUCAUUCCCUGAUUCAAUAUUGCAAAUUUUGGACAAUGAGCUUCUGGAUACGGAUGGUGAAGAAGCUAGAGCUGUCUUCAUAACUUGCUUGACAUCAGCUAUUGAAUUAGCAUUAGAAUGCACGGCAGCUUUGCCUGAGGAGAGGCCUAGUACGAGAUAUGUUCUAAAGAGGAUGAGAGAUGUUCAGAGCAGAAUCAGAGAGAUCGAGAUCAAGUUGAACGACCUGAAAAUGUCGUUCUUGCUUACUGAUUCUGAUCGGGAAGAGAUAAGAAAAUCUGCGAGAAGAUGGAGACAGAUAAGAUGGAAGGCAAAACAACGAGUACCCAUUCUUGCACGCAUACCCGAAUCACAAGAAGUUGUAAAUUUUGAACCAAGUGAAACAGAGUCAUCAAAUUGAACUACAAGCUAGAUUACUUUCAGAAGGAAAAUUUCCUCGUUCGCUGACUCUGAUGUAGUAGCUGAGAUACAGAAAAUGUUGGGAGAGACUUGAGAGGGUCCAAACUGGAAGAAUUAGUUUUUGGUGCUGUUCGGAAUGGAAACCUGGCUUUACAUCAAAAUGCAAAUGGAAAUAAAGAUAUAAUAAUGCUGGAUGUCCAGCGUUUUAGUACGUUUCUAUGGAGAUAAUUAGAUCUUGUUUUAAAUGUCAUGCAUAAAAUUCGGUUACCAAAUGUUACUGCCUUGUCUGUUCAAUAUUCACAGGUUCUUUCAUAUUGAGUACUAGGUUCAAGGUUGUAUCUUGAAUUAUUGUUUAUUAUUGCAAUAAAUAUUUUUUAUUGUAGUUUUGGUUGAUGGUGAGCUUCAUUAAUAUCUACAUUCGUAGUCCAGCCUUGAGUAUACUACAUAAUUUGAAAUUCUCGACCCAUCACCGAACAUCUAUGGAUGAAGUAAUGUUAAAUUUUAAUCAAGGGAGUCUUGUAUCAUAUGAGGGGUCUGUAGAAGCUCAAGGCGGAAAGGUUUGUCUGUAAAAUUUGCUCUCUUUUUUUGCCAGUUCGACAAUAAUAAGGUGCCCUUUUGCCACA